rnacentral:rRNA from 1 species
GACGAACGCUGGCGGCGUGCUUAACACAUGCAAGUCGAGCGAGAGCCGGCUGAGGGGUAACCCUCGGCCGGGGACAGCGGCGAACGGGUGCGUAACACGUGGGCAACCUGCCCCUGACUCUGGGAUAACCCCGGGAAACCGGAGCUAAUACCGGACACUCUCGGUCCACCACAUGGCGGUCCGAGGAAAGAUCCGUCGGUCGGGGAUGGGCCCGCGGCCUAUCAGCUUGUUGGCGAGGUAACGGCUCACCAAGGGGACGACGGGUAGCUGGUCUGGGAGGACGACCAGCCACACGGGAACUGAGAUACGGUCCAGACUCCUACGGGAGGCAGCGGUGGGGAAUAUUGCACAAUGGGCGCAAGCCUGAUGCAGGGACGCCGCGUGAGGGAUGACGGCCCUCGGGUUGUAAACCUCUUGCGGCAGGGACGAAGCGCAAGUGACGGUACCUGCAGAAGAAGUCCCGGCUAACUACGUGCCAGCAGCCGCCGUAACAC